ensembl:lncRNA
GAGAUAAUCUGUUAGAGUCUCUUGGGUCUAUAUAUAAAAUCUGCAAUCCAGUUUGACAGUUGGAACUAGAUGUGAAAGAACCAGACCUUUGAGAAGCUAUAACUCUUGGAUAGGAAAGAAUUAACUUUCUUUCUAGCCCCAUUAGCCAUAUUAUUGGAGUUACUUGGUAGCAAAUAGUGCAUGCUGCCACAUACAAAGACAUGUACAGUACUGAGGAUAGCCAAGGAUACAGAAAGAGAAUCACCCAUGCACAAGAGCAUGAUCCAUGCAGCACAGAAGAAUGUCAGAUAUGGACUCAAGAAAGAAGUGGACUCAUGGCUGAGUGGAUCUCCUAAGACAGGAAUGUACUUGGGAGGAACCUGGAAAGGCACAACUGGAGAUGGGGGCCAGAAGACAAAGAGACUGUUGCUUCUCUUUGUACAGGAGGCUCUGCACAUCCAGAUUGAGCUGACAGUGAGAGAUGAAAGUUGCCUGUCCUGACAAAAAAAGGAGUCAUUGCUUUGAGGCUGCGGGUAAAUCUUUGGAAGAUAGAAGAUAUUGGCCAAACCCCUUGCUUUCUUCUCUCACAAAACACACCACACUCAACAGGAGAUGGAAAGCAUAAGCCAUGGGAUCAGAGGAACUCUUGACCCCUCUUCUCACCUACUAAAGCUGUUGAGGAGGUGGUAACCAAGUAACUCUGCCCAGGAAAAUGCUCUUUGGGGUUAUUGGAAGAUGUCAAGCCGAGAUAAUUCUGUAGUAAGUUCCUCGACAAUUCCCAUUGUCUUGUUAUUAAUUCCAGGCUCAAAAAGAUUGGAUUCCUUGUUUUGAUUUUAAAGCCUCUCUCAAUCUGGCCCCUGUAAAGGUUAAACUUAAUAUUCAAUAACUAAGGUAUUAUAUUUUAAAGGUUUAUUAAUAAUAACUAAAGUAAAAGAAUUACCUAAACCCAGCCCAGUCUAUUACAAGAGAAGAGAGUGAGAGGGAACUACAGAACUUAUAAAACAAUAACGUGAUCACACAAAUAUGGAGGCUCAAGAGAAAUUAAAGGGAUUUUAGGGAAAUACUAAGGGAAGUCUGGGGGAUGAAGUUCAAAGGUUCAAAAUCUCCAUUUAUACCCCUCUUUGAAUUCCUCCAGUAUCUUUAUGCUUAAUUCCCUAAAUGUAUUCCACAAACCAGCUACAUGGAUUUUAUUUGCUCUAUCUCACACAUUAUACAGCAUUUUUCAUAUAUAUGUACUGGCUACACCUCAUCCUUCAUCUUGGAUUCUCUCCCACCUCGUAUUCAAUCCCUAGCUUGUACACUAAAGCAAAAUCUCACCUUUAGGAGACUUUUCUCAUAAUUCCUUCCCCUUCUGAAAUUAUCUUCCAUUUAUUUGUAUGUACAUAUCUUAUAUGUACAGAAUUAAUUGAAAGGUGUCUCCUCCCCUAUCAUAAUAUGGGCUCCUUGAGAACAAGAGCCAUGUUGUGACCUUUCUCUGUAUUACCAGAGUGUGUCAUAGUGCCUGGACAUAGAAAGUAUUUCAUAAACUCUUAAAGAGACCUUCUAAAAGACUGACCAUAAGUUAUAGAAUUCACUAUUUAAAGAAUACUAAUUCAUUACUGAUGUUUCUGUGAAUUGUUUGAACUUUUCUGAAAAAUAAUUUGAAUUCAAAUGAUAAUAAAUAGUUAUUAAACUGAUUUUUAUUCUUUGAC